GAUGAACGCUGGCGGCGUGCCUAAUACAUGCAAGUCGAGCGAACGGACGAGAAGCUUGCUUUUCUGAUGUUAGCGGCGGACGGGUGAGUAACACGUGGAUAACCUACCUAUAAGACUGGGAUAACUUCGGGAAACCGGAGCUAAUACCGGAUAAUAUUUUGAACCGCAUGGUUCAAAAGUGAAAGACGGUCUUGCUGUCACUUAUAGAUGGAUCCGCGCUGCAUUAGCUAGUUGGUAAGGUAACGGCUUACCAAGGCAACGAUGCAUAGCCGACCUGAGAGGGUGAUCGGCCACACUGGAACUGAGACACGGUCCAGACUCCUACGGGAGGCAGCAGUAGGGAAUCUUCCGCAAUGGGCGAAAGCCUGACGGAGCAACGCCGCGUGAGUGAUGAAGGUCUUCGGAUGGUAAAACUCUGUUAUUAGGGAAGAACAUAUGUGUAAGUAACUGUGCACAUCUUGACGGUACCUAAUCAGAAAGCCACGGCUAACUACGUG
rnacentral:rRNA from 1 species